CCUUUCAUCCAAGAAGCUCAAGUACCCCUUUUUAAACUUAAGGAUUUUAUGUUUUGUGAUAUUUCAUGAUUUGUAUGAGUUGAAGUUGAUGUUACUUGUGUUGUUGAUUUUGGAUUCAUGAUUGUUCGCAAAAUUUAAGAUCUUUGACCCUAGUAUGUGGAAUUUAUGUGAUGUUGUGAUGAGCCCUGUUGAAGUUAGUGUCUA
rnacentral:lncRNA from 1 species